rnacentral:rRNA from 1 species
GACGAACGCUGGCGGCGUGCCUAAUACAUGCAAGUAGAACGCUGAAGGAGGAGCUUGCUUCUCUGGAUGAGUUGCGAACGGGUGAGUAACGCGUAGGUAACCUGCCUGGUAGCGGGGGAUAACUAUUGGAAACGAUAGCUAAUACCGCAUAAUAGCAGUUGUUGCAUGACAACUGUUUGAAAGGUGCAAUUGCACCACUACCAGAUGGACCUGCGUUGUAUUAGCUAGUUGGUGGGGUAACGGCUCACCAAGGCGACGAUACAUAGCCGACCUGAGAGGGUGAUCGGCCACAUUGGGACUGAGACACGGCCCAGACUCCUACGGGAGGCAGCAGUAGGGAAUCUUCGGCAAUGGACGGAAGUCUGACCGAGCAACGCCGCGUGAGUGAAGAAGGUUGUCGGAUCGUAAAGCUCUGUUGUAAGAGAAGAACGAGUGUGAGAGUGGAAAGUUCACACUGUGACGGUAUCUUACCAGAAAGGGACGGCUAACUACGUG